CAAAGGAGUAGCUUCUGUGGAGGUUGUGCUCUUCUCAAGUUACUUCUGGUUGUUGGAAAGGGAUAACCUCAACCUGCUCAUUCUAACAGAGGAGCCUGUGGGUAGCUCUCACCUCAAUAUCUGCAGAGAAACGACCUGAGUGAUCUAAGUUGUAUCUAAAAGUGUAGCAAGAAGUUCUCAUGUAAGCGUCCUUUAUGAAUGCUUCUAAUAAAAUUAAUUAGUAACUGGAAUGACCAACAGUGAAAGCUCCCCAUAGCCAGGAUCUGCUCUGGAGAAAUACCUGCUGCUUCCAUAGCUGCACAAAUGUAAGGUUCCAGGUGGACCCUGCACCACCUCUCUCCCUCUCUUUCUCCUUGACUCGCAGUGAUGCAAAACAGAAGCAUUCUAUUCAGUUCAAGGAAAGAGAUGAUCAAUUGCUGGAAUUUAUCUUUUGCUGUUCUUUUACUAAUUUUUACUAAUUCUUACUGGAUGGCUUUACUAGUACUUUCUGGGUGUGCUCUUUUCUCAGAGGAUUGAAGAACUAAGCCACCAAGAGGUGCACAAAUCCUUUUCAGUGACAAGAAACUGAAUAAGUGAAGCGCUUCCAGAUGACCCCUGUUUCUGUGCCUUCUCUUGUCACAGAAAAGUGCUUCAAGAGCCAUUCAUCCGUGCAAACUGGUACCAAGACAUGACUCCAUUUCAAAGCAUCUGACAACAGUCAUUGCUGUCUUCUCUCCAGCCUUUAACUGUCACCAGACACUGCUGUCUCAGGUAGAAGUAAAAAUGAAAAGAAACUGAACCAGAAAAAAACCUCUACUUUGCAUGUCCACCUUUAUGCAAGAUGAGAAGCAGUAUCUCUGGGCUCUGAGCAUACAGGAUGUGUAAGAAGGAGUCACAAACUUUAUUUCAGAAGAGAGCAGCAGCAAUUCUGGUCCUCUUAAAUGCAGUAAGAACAGCCCCACAUUCCCCUGGAAGGAAUUAAAGGAGAGAAAGAAAUUAAAAAAAAAUAAUCAGAAAGAUAUCAGAAAAGGAGAUGGAAAGUUGUUUUAAUGUUAUUCUUAUUGUUUCUCACUACUUGGAUCUGUAAUUAAAUGCUUAUUUUUAUUGAUAUUAAAUUAUGCUAUUUUUCCUAAAUUGAAUCUAUUUUGCCCAUAACACUAACUGGUAAGUGAUAUCCCUGUCUGUAGCUCAAUUUUCUCAUGUCUGUUCAUCCCACUUUCUACCACCAUCUUGUGGAGGGUGCUGAAGAGAGCAGGUGGGUGGGAGUUUAGCUGUUAGCCAAGACUAGCCCACUACAGAUGGCAAAGCCAUGAUAUAGUCCAAAGCACGUUCCUAACACAGACUGAUGAGAAAUCAUGUGAAUGUACACAAUGGGGCACUGACAGAAAAGAAAAGUCCAUACCAAUUUUAUUCAGCUCUGACUCUUUUUGUGUAAAAGUUGGAAGAAGUCAUACCAGUCACAACAACUAUUGUUCCUGCUUUUCAAACCAUUAUGCACAUUAAUUCCAAACUACAUUCUGAUAUCAAUGUCCUUGCCCUAUUUAUAUCACACAGGCUCUCCUUGUAUUUACCAAACUUCUUCACCUAAUUACCUUUUGUCACAGCUCCUUACUCUGUACCAACAUUCUGCCCUGCUUACCUGCUCUUUUAUGGUCAACAUCAGCUUUUAGUAACAAGAUCUGGGAAGUCUUUUAAGGCUAUUGCUU